UUCACUCCUCUCUCUCCUCCCUCCUUGUCGGCGCAAACCCUAAACUUUCUCCAUUACAAUUCGCCGGAAAAUCCGUCGUCUACCACCGAAUCGUCGCCGGGGACGACACCAGCACACCUUACAACUCCUUGCCAACUUCUUACCACUGCUAAUCCAAAGAUUUGAACCUAAAGGACUACCAAAACAAUCUCAAAACCUACAAAUUCGACGAUUUAGAUGCCCGACUAAAUUCUAUUCGCCGAAUGCUUAUCGAGGUCAUCGGUUUAACGAAGAAGACGAAGAGUGGUGUAAAAUCCGUUUCAAUACAGCAAAAAUCCAUUGAUAUUUCAGCAAUUACAUCGAAAUCAGUUUCGGUUAAAGAUUCGGAGAAGUAGUAGAAGACUUUCUAUGAUUCAACAAAUUGAUCGAAAAUAUUGGAAAAAAAGACCACAAAAAAUUCGAAAAACCCUAUAAUUACAUGCCUAUUCAGAUAAGUUUCUCACACUAAGUUCGGUUCAUCAGUAUUUUGAGCAAUUACAAGUUGAAAUGUUGUUGACAGACUCUAUUAGGUAGAGAUCCACAGUUGUGACCAAAUAUAUAAAAAUUUUAUAUCACUCUGAGAUUUCAUUUUGAUGCAACACCAUUGGAUAGAAGAGCAUUUUAUAGAAUUUCAGAAUCUGUAUAAGACUUGCUAUCUAUUAGAAAUUAAAGGUUUUAUGACAAUUUACAUGAUAUAAAUGCUUUUUCUACAUGAAUAUACAUUCUAUAGAUGCUGUGAAAGGAGAUUAUACAAUACUGCAAGCUUUUUAACAAAAAAAAGUACUUACUUUUGUUUAAUGCCAGGAAAGAUAUUUGAAAGACAAUGAUAUAUGCAAGAAGAAGAAGGAUAAAAAGAUUCUGCACUCAAUUCAGCAAGCUAAACAGAGAAUGUGAAGAAGUCAGAAAACAUGCCACGCGAUCAUGGAAGAUAGCUUCCAAGGUCUUAUCAUUCUUAUCUCCAGAAUUGUUCUCAUAAAGCUGGACACAACGGACCUUGAUGACAGAGUAAUCAUCUUAAAAAAUUUCAAGAAGAAUGGAAGCCAAGGCAAGGACCACAUAUUGCAUGGAAAACUGGAAUAAGAGGAGCAGUGCAAGGGACAAAAAGUAUAAAACCUCAACUUCAUGAGCCAUUCAAGGUUUCAAGCAUAAAACAAAUGGAAGGAAUAACAAAUUCAAGGGACAAAUUGCAAAGGAUGUAAAUAAUGGAUUCCAAAGAAGACACAAUGCAUUGGAAACUGGAGUGUGUCAGACAGCUUUGGAAGAGUGGAAUAAAUAGAUACUCCCUCCGUCCCAAGGAA